rnacentral:rRNA from 1 species
GUAGGUGGCAAGCGUUGUCCGGAAUUAUUGGGCGUAAAGCGCGCGCAGGCGGUUCUUUAGGUCUGAUGUGAAAGCCCACGGCUCAACCGUGGAGGGUCAUUGGAAACUGGAGAACUUGAGUACAGAAGAGGAAAGCGGAAUUCCACGUGUAGCGGUGAAAUGCGUAGAGAUGUGGAGGAACACCAGUGGCGAAGGCGGCUUUCUGGUCUGUAACUGACGCUGAGGCGCGAAAGCGUGGGGAGCAAACAGGAUUAGAUACCCUGGUAGUCCACGCCGUAAACGAUGAGUGCUAAGUGUUAGGGGGGUUUUCCGCCCCCCUUAGUGCUGCAGCUAACGCAUUAAGCACUCCGCCUGGGAGUACGGCCGCAAGGCUG